GUUAGGAAUAUUGGACAAUGGGCGCAAGCCUGAUCCAGCCAUGCCGCGUGAGUGAUGAAGGCCUUCGGGUUGUAAAGCUCUUUAGCCGAUGAUUAUAAUGACUGUAGUCGGAAAAUAAGACCCGGCUAACUUCGUGCCAGCAGCCGCGGUAAUACGAAGGGGGCGAGCGUUAUUCGGAAUCACUGGGCGGAAAGCGUGCGUAGGCGGCUUUGCAAGUUGGGAGUGAAAGCCCAGGGCUCAACCCUGGAAUUGCUCUCAAAACUGCAAGGCUAGAAUUCGGGAGAGGUUAGCGGAAUUGUCAGUGUAGCAGUGAAAUGCGUAGAUAUUUACAGGAACACCAGUGGCGUAAGCGGCUAUCUGGACCGAUAUUGACGCUGAGGCACGAAAGCGUGGGGAUCAAACAGGAUUAGAAACCCGAGUAGUCC
rnacentral:rRNA from 1 species